CAUCAUGGCAAUUGUCAUUAGCAAUUUGGCAGAGAACUUCUCUGGUACAACUCCAGAGACUAUUGGGGCAAAGAACUACCAAGCAGGCUACUCCAUGUUUGGUGCUGGACUCACUGUUGGCUUUU